UUUUGACGGAAAAGAAACUCGACUAUCAAUAUAAUAGUGUUUUAUAAUAAGUCUAAAAUACAUUUUUUUUUCAGGAAUUCAUAUACCCAAUGAAGAGAGCAUACCUGAUGACAUAGAUUAUAAUAGAGCAACGUAUGAAAGAAGAGAACUUUUGAAACCUGUUAUGAAAAAAGAAUUGCAACACCAUUAUAAUAAUAGUUCGGUGAAAAUAUGUGAUAAUAAUGAUAUUAAGAAAUGCAGGCUUAUCAGUAUGAUCAGAAGAACGUACAAUACAAUUUCAGAUAAAGAAUUACCCAGAUGCAGAAAUGGAGAGUGUCAUAUAUUUUUGCCAAUUCAGACGGAAGGCUAUGUCGGGAUUGAUCCUUUUAAGAAAUUUCCAGAUAUAUACAGAGAUAGGUUCGACGCUUCUAUUAAUCGUUUUGUU